UGAUCCAUGUCACAUGGGUGUCUUCCAGUU
rnacentral:piRNA from 1 species